CACGUAGGGUGCGAGCGUUGACCGGAAUUAUUGGGCGUAAAGAGCUCGUAGGCGGUGUGUCGCGUCGGCCGUGAAAACCUGCAGCUUAACUGUGGGCUUGCGGUCGAUACGGGCAUCACUGGAGUUCGGCAGGGGAGACUGGAAUUCCUGGUGUAGCGGUGAAAUGCGCAGAUAUCAGGAGGAACACCGAUGGCGAAGGCAGUGUUCUGGGCCAGUACUGACGCUGAGGAGCGAAAGCGUGGGUAGCAAACAGG
rnacentral:rRNA from 1 species